AGUGAACGCUGGCGGUAGGCCUAACACAUGCAAGUCGAACGGCAGCACAGUAAGAGCUUGCUCUUACGGGUGGCGAGUGGCGGACGGGUGAGGAAUACAUCGGCAUCUACUUUUUCGCGGGGGAUAACGUAGGGAAACUUACGAUAAUACCGGAUACGACCUACGGGUGGAAGCAGGGGAUCUUCGGACCUUGCGCGAUUGAAUGAGGCGUUGUCGGAUUAGCUAGUUGGCGGGGUAAAGGCCCACCAAGGCGACGAUCCGUAGCUGGGCUGAGAGGAUGAUCAGCGCCACGGGACCGGGGACACGGGCCAGACUCCUACGGGAGGCAGCAGUGGGGAAUAUUGGACAAGGGGCGCAAGCCUGAUCCAGCCAUACCGCGUGGGUGAAGAAGGCCUUCGGGUUGUAAAGCCCUUUUGUUGGGAAAGAAAAGCAGCAGGUUAAUACCCCGCUGUUCUGACGGUACCCAAAGAAUAAGCACCGGCUAACUUCGU
rnacentral:rRNA from 1 species